rnacentral:antisense_RNA from 1 species
GCGAUUCCCCUUUCCCACUAGGGCUCCCCUCUGAUCACUGGCUCUCCUCACCCUAAGUCUGCAGCCACCAGGAGCAGGGAGGGGUGGGUUGCGGGGGUCCUCCUUCCUGCCCCUUGGCUCACCUCCCCCCAUCCGCGCACCAGGAGCGGAGAGCCGGGAACUAAGAACAGUAGACCCAGAGAGGUGAGACCGGCCCCAAGCACCUGAGUCCUCAAGAAGAGUGACCGUUUCCGUGCCAGGAGGAUCCAAGGUGGGGAAACUGAGGCUGAGAGAGAAGGACGUUGACCAAGGUCACAGGGCAGGGGCAGCAGGCCUGCCAGAUAAACGCAAAUGUUACGGGACAUCAUCCCUUCUGGUGGCGCAAGCUCCCUGGCAUUCUGGGUCCUCACUCUGUGCCAGGCGCUGUGCAAGCACUGGCCUGGCCAGGCAGGCAUUCAGAAGACAUUGUGGCCCCAACCCCACGCACACAGGAUCAGUGCUGGGGUUGGGACGGGGCCCAUCAGCCAAGCAGGUGGGUCCAGGAGGAGCUGGGAGGCUUGGAGAGGGGGCUGCGCUUAGCCUGUGCUACCCUACCCAGUGGAGCUGAGC